rnacentral:rRNA from 1 species
CGAACGGGUGAGUAAUGCGUGACCAACCUUCCCCAUGCUCCAGAAUAGCUCUUGGAAACGGGUGGUAAUGCUGGAUGCUCCAACUUGACGCAUGUCUUGUUGGGAAAGUGUUUAGUGGCAUGGGAUGGGGUCGCGUCCUAUCAGCUUGUAGGCGGGGUAAUGGCCCACCUAGGCUUCGACGGGUAGCCGGCCUGAGAGGGCGGACGGCCACAUUGGGACUGAGAUACGGCCCAGACUCCUACGGGAGGCAGCAGUA